rnacentral:rRNA from 1 species
UACGGAGGGGGCUAGCGUUAUUCGGAAUUAUUGGGCGUAAAGGGCGCGUAGGCGGCUUUGCAAGUGACGGGUGAAAUCCCUCGGCUUAACCGAGGAACUGCCUGUCAGACUGUGAGGCUUGAGACCGGGAGAGGUGAGUGGAACUCCCAGUGUAGCGGUGAAAUGCGUAGAUAUUGGGAGGAACACCAGUGGCGAAGGCGGCUCACUGGACCGGAACUGACGCUGAGGCGCGAAAGCGUGGGGAGCAAACAGG